rnacentral:rRNA from 1 species
GUGAGGAACCUGCCUCAAAGAGGGGGACAACAGUUGGAAACGACUGCUAAUACCGCAUAAGCCCACGACCCGGCAUCGGGUAGAGGGAAAGGGAGCAAUCCGCUUUGAGAUGGCCUCGCGUCCGAUUAGCUAGUUGGUGAGGUAAUGGCCCACCAAGGCGACGAUCGGUAGCCGGACUGAGAGGUUGAACGGCCACAUUGGGACUGAGACACGGCCCAGACUCCUACGGGAGGCAGCAGUGGGGAAUAUUGCACAAUGGGGGAAACCCUGAUGCAGCGACGCCGCGUGGAGGAAGAAGGUCUUCGGAUUGUAAACUCCUGUUGUUGAGGAAGAUAAUGACGGUACUCAACAAGGAAGUGACGGCUAACUACGUGCCAGCAGCCGCGGUAAAACGUAGGUCACAAGCGUUGUCCGGAAUUACUGGGUGUAAAGGGAGCGCAGGCGGGAAGACAAGUUGGAAGUGAAAUCCAUGGGCUCAACCCAUGAACUGCUUUCAAAACUGUUUUUCUUGAGUAGUGCAGAGGUAGGCGGAAUUCCCGGUGUAGCGGUGGAAUGCGUAGAUAUCGGGAGGAACACCAGUGGCGAAGGCGGCCUACUGGGCACCAACUGACGCUGAGGCUCGAAAGUGUGGGUAGCAAACAGGAUUAGAUACCCUGGUAGUCCACACUGUAAACGAUGAUUACUAGGUGUUGGAGGAUUGACCCCUUCAGUGCCGCAGUUAACACAAUAAGUAAUCCACCUGGGGAGUACGACCGCAAGGUUGAAACUCAAAGGAAUUGACGGGGGCCCGCACAAGCAGUGGAGUA